UACGGAGGAUCCAAGCGUUAUCCGGAUUUAUUGGGUUUAAAGGGUGCGUAGGUGGUUCUUUAAGUCAGGGGUGAAAGACGGUAGCUUAACUAUCGCAGUGCCUUUGAUACUGACGGGCUUGAAUACACUAGAGGUAGGCGGAAUGUGACAAGUAGCGGUGAAAUGCAUAGAUAUGUCACAGAACACCAAUUGCGAAGGCAGCUUACUAUGGUGUCAUUGACACUGAGGCACGAAAGCUAGGGGAGCAAAUGGG
rnacentral:rRNA from 1 species